CAAGGAAUUUUCCCCAAUGGGCGCAAGCCUGAGGGAGCAACGCCGCGUGGAGGACGACGGCCUUCGGGUUGUAAACUCCUUUUGGGGGGGACGAUAAUGACGGUACCCCCCGAAUCAGCCCCGGCUAACUCUGUGCCAGCAGCCGCGGUAAGACAGAGGGGGCAAGCGUUGUCCGGACUGACUGGGCGUAAAGCGCGCGCAGGCGGUCUGAGGCGUCGGUGCUGAAAGUCCACCGCUUAACGGUGGGAAGCGCGCCGAUACGCUCAGACUGGAGGGCGGGCGAGGGUGGUGGAAUUGCCGGUGUAGUGGUGAAAUGCGUAGAGAUCGGCAGGAACACCAGUGGCGAAGGCGGCCACCUAGCCCGCACCUGACGCUGAGGCGCGACAGCGUGGGGAGCGAACUGGAUUAGAUACCCAGGUAGUCCACGCCGUAAACGAUGCCGACUCGGUCUUC
rnacentral:rRNA from 1 species